UUGGCUUAGAAGCAGCCAUCCUUGAAAGAGUGCGUAAUAGCUCACUGGUCAAGUGAUCGUGCGCCGACAAUGUAGCGGGGCUCAAGCACACCGCCGAAGCCGCGGAUCCUCAACAAGUACCCUGUCAAUAUUUUUUGUUGGCCAGGGGUUGGGGGUGGUAGGGGAGCGUUGUGUACUGGGUGAAGCGGCUAAGUGAUUGUGUCGUGGACGGUACGCAAGUGAGAAUGCAGGCAUGAGUAGCGAUACUAGGGUGAGAAACCCUAGCGCCGAAUGACCAAGGGUUCCAGGGCUAGGCUAGUCCGCCCUGGGUGAGUCGGGUCCUAAGGCGAGGCCGACAGGCGUAGUCGAUGGAUAACCGGUUGAUAUUCCGGUACCGGCUAGUAACCGUCAAGUGUUGACUGAAAGGUACUAACCCACGCUAAAAACAUGGCUAGACGCCUUUUGGGUGUUUGGUUGUGGUUUUGGUUUGGGGACAGGCUUUCUUGGUAGGCAAGCGUGUGGAGUGACGCACAGUGGAAGCCUUCGCGAGGUGAUGGUUUACCUCGUUUAACCGUGUAGCUUACUGCUUAGGUAAAUCCGGGUGGUUUUAUGUGAGGCGGGAUGAUGACCACUUUGGUGGGAAGUAGGGGUGAUCCUGUGGUGCCGAGAAAAGCUUCGACGCGAGGUGGCUGGCCGCCCGUACCCUAAACCGACACAGGUGGUCGGGCAGAGUAUGCCUAGGCGCACGAGAUAAUCAUGGUUAAGGAACUCGGCAAAAUGCCCCCGUAACUUCGGGAGAAGGGGGGCCUGAUACUUGAUGAAACCGCUUUUUUGGCUUUCUAGGGUUGAGGGUCGCAGAGACCAGGGAGAAGCGACUGUUUACUAAAAACACAGGUGCGUGCGAAGCCGUAAGGCGAUGUAUACGCACUGACGCCUGCGAAAUUCCUUGUCGGGUAAGUUCCGACCUGCACGAAUGGCGUAACGACUUCUCUACUGUCUCAACCAUGAACUCGGCGAAAUUGCAUUACGAGUAAAGAUGCUCGUUACGCGCAGAAGGACGGAAAGACCCCGGGACCUUUACUAUAGCUUGGUAUUGGUGCGCGUUAUAGCUUGUGUAGGAUAGGUGGGAGACUGUGAAGUGGUCACGCUAGUGAUUGUGGAGUCGUUGUUGAAAUACCACUCUGGUUAUAGCGUGUGCCUGAACCUUGGCCCGUGAUCCGGGUUAGGGACAGUGCCUGGUGGGUAGUUUAACUGGGGCGGUUGCCUCCUAAAUUGUAACGGAGGCGCUCAAAGGUUCCCUCAUCCUGGUCGGUAACCAGGUGUUGAGUGUAAGUGCACAAGGGGGCUUGACUGCGAGACUGACAGGUCGAGCAGGUACGAAAGUAGGAACUAGUGAUCCGGCGAUCCCGUGUGGGUGGGUCGUCGCUCAACGGAUAAAAGGUACCCCGGGGAUAACAGGCUGAUCCUGCCCAAGAGUCCAUAUCGACGGCAUGGUUUGGCACCUCGAUGUCGGCUCGUCG
rnacentral:rRNA from 1 species